ACGCAGAGCGGCGGGAGCACGCGCACGGCUCGGGGCGCCCCCCAGCGGCUGCACCUGGACAUACCAGGGGGACGGACCCCCUCGUGUGACCAGAGACACAACGUGUGUGAGAACAAAGACCUGCCUGUCAACGGAGACACGUUUGUGAACACAGACACACGAGAACACGUCCGUCCUCCCUCCCCCGGCCUCCCCAUUGGCUGCGUCCCCCUCCUGCCCGCCUCCUGUCGCAGAGCAGCCCAUGGGGAACCGGCUUCAGGGACACCUGCACCCCACCUUAGGGAUCAACGAGGACAAAAGGACAGAAAGAAAUGACGGGCCGAGGCUGCAGUCAGGGUCUGGAAGGAAGGCCGUGAUACCCUGUCUCAUCCAAGAAGGAAUGUCACCUAAGGGCAUAGACCCAUCGGUCGCAGAGGCAGAAGUGGGGCAGCUCCUGGCUGGGGACCAUAAGCCCUGCUUAUAAGACUAGUUCGGAGGAUUAAAGGAUUUAAUCCCAGGAUUUGAAUCAGCGCUUGGAGUAGGAUGGAGGCAUUUGGUAGUUUGGGCAGUUUUUCACCCCAGUUUUGGCAGCUCAUUGAGUGCCAGAGCAUGCCAGCACCAAAGUCUCUGGGGACUUUUCCUCUGGGUAUCAAAUGCCCAAAAGCUAUCAGAUUGGGCUGGAAUGAAAGUGCUGCAUUGAUUUUGAAUA